GGGAAAUAAACACUAUACCCAAAUCCACGUUUUACAAUGCUCCUGGGAAAUGGGAGGUUCGUCAUAUGAAGGACAUUCAAGUGGAUGUGACCCCUAACCUGCAAUAGGGGCUUAGUGAGGUGACAGACAUCCUGUAAUGGAUCUCCAGCUAGUGUCUGAGGACCUGGAGAAGGCUGUGUCUACAGCUGUGGGGCAGGACAAGCAUGGGACAGACAUCCUGAACGACUCUGAUGUCAGAGCUCCCAUCAGCCCUCUAC